UACGUAGGGGGCAAGCGUUAUCCGGAUUUACUGGGUGUAAAGGGAGCGUAGACGGCAUGGCAAGCCAGAUGUGAAAUACCGGGGCUCAACCCCGGGGCUGCCGUUGAAACCGGAGCGCUAGAAUUCCGAUGCCGUCGGAGGAAUGUGUGGUGUAGCGGUGAAAUGCAUAGAUAUCACACAGAACACCGAUUGCGAAGGCAUCUGACGAAUCGGAGAUUGACGCUGAUGCACGAAAGCGUGGGUAUCGAACAGG
rnacentral:rRNA from 1 species